UCUCUGUCUGCUUCUCUCUCUCUCUCUCUCUCUCUCUCUUUCUCUCUUUCUUUCUCUAUAUGUAUGUACAAUUAUGUAUGCAUAUAGAAUAGUCGAUACAGGUGUAUAUUUGCUUGCUGUCUUUCACUCUCUAAGUAUUUAUAUAUUCUCAUGCAUGUGUGUGUGUGUGUGUGUGUGUGUGUGUGUGAGAGAGAGAGAGAGAGAGAGAGAGAGAGAGAGAGAGAGAGAGAGAGAGAGAGAAGGAGAAG
rnacentral:miRNA from 1 species